rnacentral:rRNA from 1 species
UAUUGCACAAUGGGCGCAAGCCUGAUGCAGCCAUGCCGCGUGUGUGAAGAAGGCCUUAGGGUUGUAAAGCACUUUCAAUUGGGAGGAAAACCUGCCGGUCAAUACCCGGUAGCUUGACAUUACCUUUAGAAGAAGCACCGGCUAACUCCGUGCCAGCAGCCGCGGUAAUACGGAGGGUGCGAGCGUUAAUCGGAAUUACUGGGCGUAAAGCGUGCGUAGGCGGUUCGUUAAGUCAGAUGUGAAAGCCCUGGGCUCAACCUGGGAACUGCAUUUGAAACUGGCGGACUAGAGUUUAGUAGAGGGGAGUGGAAUUUCAGGCGUAGCGGUGAAAUGCGUAGAUAUCUGAAGGAACACCAGUGGCGAAGGCGACUCCCUGGACUAGAACUGACGCUGAGUACGAAA